rnacentral:lncRNA from 1 species
UUUUCUAUUUUUUUUUUAUUGGAUAAGUAAAUUGUCUUUGUUAAUAGUUCGACAAUUUGUGAUAACAAAAUGAUUUUUUAACACAAAUUUCUAUCAAGUUUUUAUAUUUCUAAAUUAUUAUUUGAUGCAUUUCAAUAUAAAUAACAUAUUUUAUUUGUUAAUUUAUUUCUGGUCUCUUGUGGAGAUUUGUCAUAUUGGUAAUCAUGCCACAUCUUCUUUUUUAUAUUUAGGAUGACACUGGGUCCUGUACUUUUGCAUUGUUAAAAUCGGUGAAAUUUGAUUUUUUUUCUUCUUUUCAUUCUCAAACGUAUGUUAUUUGCAGUAAUAAAAUAAAAUUGUUGAAGUAUUCAGUAUUUAUAUGAAGAUGCACGAGAUUUUCCUAUGAACUUUUAAGUAUGAAACCGUGACGCUUCGAAUUCAGGUCCCUCAAAGCAUUACAUGAUUUUACCGAUUAUAUAUUUAAUUUUUACUAUUUACAAUUAUUUUGUUCAAUUCUAAUAUAAAACGUAGUUAUAUUUUUUACUUAUAUUUUGUUUCAAAGAGUUUAGAUCUACAAUUAUAAUAUAAAAAAUAUUU